GACGAACCGUGCGAACGUUGUUCGGAAUCACUGGGCUUAAAGGGCGCGUAGGCGGGCUGUCAAGUCUGGGGUGAAAUGCCGCGGCUCAACCGUGGAACUGCCUUAGAUACUGACGGCCUCGAGGGAGAUAGGGGCAUGCGGAACUGUAGGUGGAGCGGUGAAAUGCGUUGAUAUCUACAGGAACUCCGGUGGCGAAAGCGGCGUGCUGGAUCUCUUCUGACGCUGAGGCGCGAAAGCUAGGGGAGCGAACGGG
rnacentral:rRNA from 1 species